rnacentral:tRNA from 1 species
GCCUUCGUGGUAUAUUGGUCAACACGUUCGACGAGUAACCGAGAGGUCCGUGGUUCGAUUCCCGGUGAAGGCG